GAGCGCCCCGCAAGGGGAGCGGCAGACGGGAGAGUAACACGUGGGAACGUGCCCUUUGGUUCGGAACAACACAGGGAAACUUGUGCUAAUACCGGAUAAGUCCGUAAGGAGAAAGAUUUAUCGCCAAAGGAUCGGCCCGCGUCUGAUUAGCUUGUUGGUGAGGUAACGGCUCACCAAGGCGACGAUCAGUAGCUGGUCUGAGAGGAUGAUCAGCCUCACUGGGACUGAGACACGGCCCAGACUCCUACGGGAGGCAGCAGUGGGGAAUAUUGGACAAUGGGCGCAAGCCUGAUCCAGCCAUGCCGCGUGGAUGAUGAAGGCCUUAGGGUUGUAAAGUCCUUUCGGCGGGGAAGAUAAUGACGGUACCCGCAGAAGAAGCCCCGGCUAACUUCGUGCCAGCAGCCGCGGUAAUGCGAAGGGGGCUAGCGUUGCUCGGAAUCACUGGGCGUAAAGCGCACGUAGGCGGCUUUUUAAGUCAGAGGUGAAAUCCUGGAGCUCAACUCCAGAACUGCCUUUGAUACUGGAGAGCUUGAGUCCGGGAGAGGUGAGUGGAACUGCGAGUGUAGAGGUGAAAUUCGUAGAUAUUCGCAAGAACACCAGUGGCGAAGGCGGCUCACUGGCCCGGUACUGACGCUGAGGUGCGAAAGCGUGGGGA
rnacentral:rRNA from 1 species